GUAUUACUCCCUCCGUUCGGAAUUACUUGUCACAAAAAUAGAUAAAAAUGGAUGUAUCUACAACUAAAAUACAUCUAGAUACAUUCAUUUCUUGGACGAGUAAUUCCGAACGGAGGGAGUAGAUU
rnacentral:pre_miRNA from 1 species